CCUACGGGCGGCAGCAGUGGGGAAUAUUGCACAAUGGGCGCAAGCCUGAUGCAGCCAUGCCGCGUGUGUGAAGAAGGCCUUCGGGUUGUAAAGCACUUUCAGCGGGGAGGAAGGCGGUGAGGUUAAUAACCUCAUCGAUUGACGUUACCCGCAGAAGAAGCACCGGCUAACUCCGUGCCAGCAGCCGCGGUAAUACGGAGGGUGCAAGCGUUAAUCGGAAUUACUGGGCGUAAAGCGCACGCAGGCGGUCUGUCAAGUCGGAUGUGAAAUCCCCGGGCUCAACCUGGGAACUGCAUUCGAAACUGGCAGGCUAGAGUCUGGUAGAGGGGGGUAGAAUUCCAGGUGUAGCGGUGAAAUGCGUAGAGAUCUGGAGGAAUACCGGUGGCGAAGGCGGCCCCCUGGACAAAGACUGACGCUCAGGUGCGAAAGCGUGGGGAGCAAACAGGAUUAGAUACCCGAGUAGUC
rnacentral:rRNA from 1 species